rnacentral:lncRNA from 1 species
ACAUCCCCGUUUACAUACUAGAUCCCAUUCCAUCGUGGGGUUUCACCAUGUUGGUCAGGCUGGUCUCAAACUCCUGACCUCAGGUGAUCCACCCACCUUGGCCUCUCAAAGUGCUGGGAUUACAGGCAUGAGCCACCGUGCCCAGCCUGAUUACUAGUUCUCAUCACACUAUCAACAAUCUCAUUCAGCUUUCAAUGUCUGUUCUCAAUUAUUCUCCCACCUCAGAGGUAGGAAACCAUUUUCUCUCAGAACUUGGAAGACACUGCUACACUGCCUUUUCUUCUUCUAGUGUUCUUAAUACUAAUAAAUGGCAACUCCAUUCUUUCAAUAGCUGAGGCAAAAACUGACUAGGCCUUUUUGUAUUAUUGUUCUUUCGGCCCUAUUUCUUCCUCAGUACUUAUGUCUCACCAUUCUAUAUU